GUCUACAGCCAUGAACGAGCCCGAUCCCAUCUGAUCUCAGAAUCUAAGCAGGGUCAGGUCUGGUUAAUACUUGGAUGGGAGACCACCUAGGAAGACUAGGUGCUGUAGGCA
rnacentral:rRNA from 1 species